UUUUUUUUUUUUUUUUUUUUGAGAAAAAGAGAAAGAGUGAGUGAGUGGGAGGUGGGGGAGAGGGAAAGAGAGACUCUUAAGCAGGCUCCACACCCAGCACGGAAGCUCUAUGUGGGGCUGGAGCUCACCACCAUGAGAUCAUGACCAGAGCCAAAAUCAAGAGUCCCAUGCUUAAUCUACUGAGCCACCCAGGUGCUCUAUUAUAAGCAGUAUCUUAAAAAAAAAAAAAAAAUAAUUCUCUUUUUCCUUGGACUAUAGAAAUAUUGAUUUUUUUAAAAUAUGAUUUUUAAAUUAAUCUGUUUAACUCAUUAACUGUAACAAUUUAUCUGUGGAUUCUUUUGGAUUUGCCACAUACAUAAUAAUUACAUCAUCUGUGAAUAAUAACAAUUUGUUUCUUUUUAUUUAAUGGUUAGUCUUUUCGUUUUUCUUGCCUUAAACCACUAAGGACAUUCAGGGGCAAAAACAGGCAUUCUUGUCUGCAGCACCCUUUUAAUCACUAGUAAGCCCCUUUGCCUCCAGCUCACAGCCUUGGAAUCAUCAGUCUCCUGGGGAGGGUCGGGCGUUGAGACGCCCACACUCUCGUUUCAUCUCCUGCAGUGAGUUAAGGCAGAGCGUCUGCCUCUCGUAAGCUCAUCUUCCAAUCCUGGAGAAGAAGCCGGCCGCUUCCUCUGGUUGCCGCGCAACGGCGUCGUCCUGCCCCAGGAGUAGGUGCAGUUGGGCUACAAGCACGUGCCGCCUCUUCCGCGUUCCGGGACUACAUCCCCCAUAAUACAGCGCGCCGCAAUCGGCUGGUCUCCGAAGUGGGGGAAGGGCCAGGACGGGCCGGGAGGCGGAGCGGAAGCGGACUGCGAGGGACGAGAAGAGUAGAAUCUCCACAAGCUGGGAACCACCUUGUCCCUGAUUCUCAAUCUCGGCCUUUCUCCAUCCCGACCUCGAGGCUGCUUCGUGAGCACGGGACGCAGCUGACGCCUGCUAAUCGACUUUCGCUGCGCCGCCCCGGCUCGGGAGCCUGUUGGCGGCCGGCGACACUGACAAGAAGCCCACUGGCAAGCUCAGCUGUGUUCUACUUUGAGGGAGAAAGUCAAAUGCCCCCUUUUUACCCCCUCUUCAAACUCAGCAGCUGGGUGACUGGUAAGGAUGAACUUAAACUGCCGUGUUGA
rnacentral:lncRNA from 1 species